GAUGAACGCUAGCGGCAGGCUUAACACAUGCAAGUCGAGGGGUAUUGGUUUUCGGACCAAGAGACCGGCGCACGGGUGCGUAACGCGUAUGCAAUCUACCUUUUGCAGAGGGAUAGCCCCAGAGAAAUUUGGAUUAAUACCUCAUAGUAUAGUACUUUGGCAUCAAGGAACUAUUAAAGUCACAACGGCAAAGAUGAGCAUGCGUCCCAUUAGCUAGUUGGUAAGGUAACGGCUUACCAAGGCUACGAUGGGUAGGGGUCCUGAGAGGGAGAUCCCCCACACUGGUACUGAGACACGGACCACGAUCCUACGGGAGGCAGCAGUGAGGAAUAUUGGACAAUGGGCGCAAGCCUGAUCCAGCCAUGCCGCGUGCAGGAAUAAGGUCCUAUGGAUUGUAAACUGCUUUUAUACAGGAAGGAACACUCCGACGUGUCGGAGCUUGACGGUACUGUAAGAAUAAGGAUCGGCUAACUCCGUGCCAGCAGCCGCGGUAAAG
rnacentral:rRNA from 1 species